AAAACGCUUUGCAGUUACAAAACUGAAUUACACGCUUAAUGAAACUUAUACUGAACUACAUACAUAUAUUUAGUUAGCUGGUUCAGUUCUAUCAAUAUUCAAUACAUAAUUGUUCAUGCAAAUAUAGGCCUUUAAUAAUACAUUAUUUGACCUAAAAAGCUAUGGUAAUUAUAUGUGAAAAAUGUAAUCAAUAAGCUUUGCUAUCGACGACCAUUUGGCCUUGACCAGCAGGUGGAUCAUAAGGUGGUGGCUGUUGGCUGUAGGCCGGGUAUGCUUGUGUGGUCAUCACCACGGGUGGCUGCUGGUUGUUAGUCGAGUGUGCUUGUGCGGUAAUCAAUAUUGUAUUUGGUUGCUGACCUGUUGUGACGAUAAAAGUUGGUUCCUAUUAAGAAUAAAGAUAUAUUAUUUUUGUGAAAAAUCAUAUUUCUUCUAUUUACACUUCAAAAACACUCUGGUUAAAAUUGCCUGGUUAACUCA